AGGGAUGUAGCUCAGUGGUAGAAUACUUGCCUACUAUGCAUGAGGCCCUAGGUUAGAGCCCUAGCACCACGA
rnacentral:tRNA from 1 species